CCCCUUCUCUACUGUACCGUUCUCUUUAUGCGGCUGUGAUUUGGGGACGGUGAGCAAGGGGGAGAUCACGGGAGGACGCGGCGUGCUGCUCGACCUCAUCGACGACGGUGCUGGAGGUUUGUGGGGCGGAGGAGGCGGUGACUGAGCUGAAGAAGGGUACACUGGUUCGUGGAUUUCCUAGCGAAUUGGUGUGUGCUGCUGGUUUUCGAGGACAUUUCUGACCGAGGAGGGACCGCGCGUUCGAGUAGCUGUUCUUGCGCCAGCCACCAGCGAGAUCGCAUCUCGCCGUCGCUGAUCUGGAAAGGCAGAUGUCGCUCCGCCGGGGAGGUCAUGGGUACUGGCAGCGAGCUUUGGCGUUGUGUUGAACGGCCUGCAGUUCCUUGUCGCUUAGGAUGAGGAAAAACGACAUGUAUGAAUCUCUCUGCCGCUCUGCACACUCCCAUUAUCCUCUUGCUUUGCAUCAUUUGUACUUCAUAAUGUGAUUUACUUAGUUUGUGUAUUUAAGCAAGUUAACAUUUGGAACUUUAAAAGCAUUUUUGUUUACAUUUUAGCGCUGAUUUUGCGCUUGCAAUUUCAAGUUAGGAGAUAACCUCGUAGGUACUUUCUUGUUCAUGUAUGGAUUAUCUGCAUGAUCUGCACUAUAUAAUUAUUUGAUAAGUCAUUGAUCUCCUUUUCAUUUUGUAGGGAAUUGAACUUGUAUUUUUUUUCAUGUUAACAUUGUACUGAUAUUUAAAUUAUUGUCUCUUUAGCAUUUCCUUGAUAAUAAUAAUUAGAUUGAUAGAGACGUUGAAAAUUGUCAAUGGUGCUGUCAAUAUAAUGUAGAUUUGAUAUUUUUUUUUGCUAAAUGAUCUUGAUUUACUUUUUCAAACAUGUUGACCUUUUUCAACGUGCUUCCCAUCCCAUUAUGCGUACAUUUUUUAGAAGAAACUAGUAAUAAAGUACGUGCAAUGCACGUUUAUAUUAGGUAGGAUAUUGGUUGCACGUUAUAUUAGAUAAGAUAUAUCUAUUGCACGUUGGUAUUUGGUAAGAUUUCAAUUACUUUUUUUGCGGGAAUGGUAGGAUAUUAAUUACGUGACAGAUUUCAUGGGACAGCGUUGAGUCAAAACGUGUUUAUAACCAAUGGCAGUGGUGGGUAAUUAGAGCGUUAAACGUGUUUGGUGCUCAACAUUGGAGCGAUUUGAACCGCUAGAUAUCAUGAUUUGACGGUUGAGAUGGUUUGGAUCUGCCCGUUUGGGUCUUUUUAUAUUGGUAUAGAUAUAGAUAUAGAUAGAUGUGUACGCCUCUUUUUUUAAGGGAUGUACGCCGCUCCCUUUCUUCUUUGCCUUUGAAGGGGAAUUGAAAGAAACUGAGGCUGCCCGUCCAUGGGGUGAUUCUGCCCCAAAUCUAAGUGCCCUGCCCGUCCAUGGUGCGAUCCUGUAGCAAGUCGCAAGGGGAAAAAGACAUCGAGGCUGCUGCCCCAAAUCUGAGUGCCCUGCCUGUCCACGGGGAGAUGCUGUACCAAAUCGCAAGUGGAGUACUAUACCAGAUUGAUUUGCUUGCCCAUCCGUGGCCAAAGCUUGGAGGAGGUGACGUUGGUGGCCAUUUUUUGCCCAGGCCGGGACAUGCGCUGCGGAUCAGGCGUUGCCCACCAGCGAGGCGGCAUCUCACUGUUGCUUAUGUUGGAAGUCCAUUUGCGAUGGGCCAUCUUCUGUUUGUCUGUCGCCUUAGGCUGCGGACGUGCUGACAGCACGAAGGGCCACUUUGAGUCGCUUGGUGACAUAAUGAUAUUAGGAGCAUCACCGGCAAACCUACCUUCAGUUUUAGCUCGUGGUUUGGAAUUUUUGGGAUAGUCAUGUUGUUAAGAAACUCUGUUGGACACAUAUUCUCCAUUGUGUUGUACUUCAUUGUUGCCUUGCAUACAGUGUCCAAGCUUAGGUAUGUCACCUCUUCCCCUUGUAUUUGGCUCAUUAUGUAGUCAUUUAUCUUCUCAACUGUUUCAUUCCUUGGACAUAGUAUUGCUCUUUCUUCGAGAAAUUCACGGUCAUGGUAGUUUUGUUGCAAGUUUGGGUACGUGCUUUUGACUAUCUCUUCUUUGGGGUCUUCUCCUUUAUGUAGAAUUAUGUCUUUAGGUAUUUUUACCCAAUCAUCCCCUUCAUCGUUUGUUCUUUUUCCGUCCCCAAUUUGUAAUAUCCAUUCUGCAAAUUGAGCCACAUUUUGCUUUUGUAUUGGAUCUUCUGACAGGCACUUCAACCGCAUAUUUUCAGUUAGGCUAAAUAUUUCGAUGUGCUUCCAUAGGUAUGACCUUUUGAUUGAGGCAUUUACUAUCUGUUCUCUCCUUCCCUUUGUUAUGACUGGAAGUAUUUGUCUGAAGUCGCCUCCUAGCACCACGGUCAUGCCACCAAAUGGCCUUUCGAGACUGUUUUGGUUUGUGAACCUUAUAAUAUCCCUAAGGCUUUUGUCUAGUGCCUCGAAGCAGUGUUUGUUUGCCUUCGGAGCCUCGUCCCACAAUAUCAGUGAGGUCUUCUUUACCAGUUCAGCCAAAUGUGAGCCUUGUUUUAUUUCACAUGUUGGUUCUUCCGUGAUAUUUAUUGGAAUGUGGAAUCUUGAGUGUGCUGUUCUUCCACCUUGGAGCAGCAAAGCUGCAAUGCCAGAUGAUGCUACCGCAAGCACUAUCUUUCCCUCUGAUCGUAGUUUCGUUGUAAUUGCUUUCCAUUGAUAUGUUUUGCCUGUGCCACCAUAGCCUUCUACAAAUAUCUGUUUUCCAUGUCCUCUCUCAGCUGACUCUAUUAUUGCAUCAAAGGCCAUUUUCUGGUCAUGGUUAAGAUUGCUUAUUAUGGUUUUGUGCUCACCUUUAGUGUUUCCAUGUCGUAGCUAAGUUCUUCAUUUAUCAUUCUGUUCCCAAGUUGUUCAAGUUCUGUAGCAUUUGGUAGUUCUAUGUCUGGAUAGUCCUUUAGUGUCUUUCCUGCUUGCCUCAUUAGUUUCUCUAUCUCGAUCAGAGCAUAUGCUUUUUUUUGUGAAUCAGUGAGCUGCAGCAUAGGAAAGUUUAGGAUAAUUCUUCUUUUGUACUGGAUAUCUUCAGAUAGUGCCUCCCAUGUUGAAUCCCACAACAUCUUUGGGCUGGUAACCUCACAAUGGCAUAAAAUUGUGCUGAAUAGCUGUCGUAAUUGUGUCCCGGAUCCCCAUGUUGAUGAUUCAUUGAUGCAUUCAAUCCACUCACUAUCAUCAUCAAGAAAACCAAGCGUCUGGCAUGCUGAUUUGUAUGUUGGGUGAACAACUCCAUUAACUGUUCUAAUAUCCUCAAAUGAUGUGCAUCCUUUCUUUGUGUUUAGAAGCAUUCUCAUAUAAUACCGCUCUCCACUUGCAGGUGUGCAUAGUAGAUUCAACCAAUAGCAAAGCCUCUUUUCCGCUCCUCCCAAGUUUUGGUGUCGCUUUUCCAUACAAAUUUUGAUGGCAAUUCUGCAUAGUCUCUCUACUGGUGGAUCACGAUGGUGUAGUAGAUCAAACUGGAAUAUCCGCCAGCAUGCUUCAGUUGUUGAUAUGUAUCUCAUCUCUAGGAUUAUUGUGUUGUGUGGUUGGAGCUGCAGUGGAUGGCAUUAUUGCUGUGACAGUGUGCUUGUUUCUCAGUGAACGACAGUUGCUCCAUGGGAAUUAGUACGGCGAAGUACUCUCUAAAAUCAUUUUUAGCACUAUACGUAAAAUUAUUAGGUUCUGCAAUAUUUCAAAGGGCAAUAUUUCAAAUAUAUAUGUUAGAAAAGUACCAAAAAAUAGUAAGCAUUACAUUAAAGAUAGAAAAAGGUCAACAAUAUACCUGAUUGUGUUUUCUUUUUCUUUUUAAUUUUUGUAAAGCUUCACACGCCUGAGCCAAUUAUUGUCGUAAUUGUAUCUUUGCUGCAAAUCAAAUCCUGUAGCGAUUCUGGAUUUUUUUGUAGCAAAUUAUUAAAGCAUAUCUUUGUAUUGCUGCCAUGACUUUAUCAGCGUGUGUGUCAGUUUUAGUUCACCACAGAAGCUGGUACUAUUUUCUCAAAGAAAAUAGAGUUUAUGUCAAGAGCCAAGGCAAGACGUGC